rnacentral:lncRNA from 10 species
UAAAGAGGGAACCCAGAAAGGGUGUCAGCUCCAAAUAUGGAUUAGCCACAGCCUUUCCACGAGGGGGAAUGGUGACCAUAUGUUUGCAAAUACAGUGAACCCACAUGUUGAAGCUUUCUAGUAUAAUAAAAAUUUCAACUGUUCUGUUGAAUCAUCUGCCUGAUUGGAGGCUACAGAAAAGAUGUCAUCUUAGGAGUGCUUGCUCUGAGUGAGGCUCAUCUUCAAAUCUGAAUGACCACAAGGAGAUUUGAUUAUACAUGUGAACACCUCAGAAGGCACAGCCCACCCAGAAGGCAGACAGGUCAGGCUGCUUUUUCUUCAUUGCUUGGAUUCAAUCCUCCGGGCGGCUCAGGCUCAAACAUAACUUAAGCAUGAUUAAACUUUAGAAGAAGCUGCCAGGAAGACUGUGAAAUCUUCAUGCCCAAGGAUCCCUAAAAUUAGGAGCAACAACCACUUGGCUCAGACGGUUUAUGGAGGCAAAGGUUUGGAUGGGAUUAGAGAUUUCUAAAUGUGAGUUCGUGUCCUCUGCCAGACCACCUUACUUCCACCAUUCCUCAGCAAAUCAAGAAAAACAGGAGAAAAGACAUGCCUUUCCAUAAGUUAAAUCUAUUCUGUUUUAAUUCUAUAUUAUAUCUGCUGUACAACUUCUUUUGUUUGUAACACCAUAUUGUUGCUAGUAACUGGAAAUUAAUUUUCACAUGCCUCAGCUUAGAAAAAUAAAAAGCAGCCCUGCAUC